AAAUUGAAGAGUUUGAUCAUGGCUCAGAUUGAACGCUGGCGGCAGGCCUAACACAUGCAAGUCGAACGGUAACAGGAAACAGCUUGCUGUUUCGCUGACGAGUGGCGGACGGGUGAGUAAUGUCUGGGAAACUGCCUGAUGGAGGGGGAUAACUACUGGAAACGGUAGCUAAUACCGCAUAACGUCGCAAGACCAAAGAGGGGGACCCUCGGGCCUCUUGCCAUCGGAUGUGCCCAGAUGGGAUUAGCUAGUAGGUGGGGUAACGGCUCACCUAGGCGACGAUCCCUAGCUGGUCUGAGAGGAUGACCAGCCACACUGGAACUGAGACACGGUCCAGACUCCUACGGGAGGCAGCAGUGGGGAAUAUUGCACAAUGGGCGCAAGCCUGAUGCAGCCAUGCCGCGUGUAUGAAGAAGGCCUUCGGGUUGUAAAGUACUUUCAGCGGGGAGGAAGGGAGUAAAGUUAAUA
rnacentral:rRNA from 1 species